UCAUGAAUGGAAUGCUACUACUUAGAUGCGAGAACCAGUGACACCAUAUGCUCAUACCAAUUUCGAACUCCACAGAUAUAAACACACAACACUCAAGAUUGAAGUUAAGGGUUGUAACAGGGCUUGGGGGUAAUGGCUAACAAAGAAAGGAUAGGGAUAACAAACGUUCUUAAAGCGAUAGUAAGCAAAGCAAUGAAAUAGACACUUGGAAAUCACUUUAGAAUGCAGAAUCAACUUUUAAUUACAAAGGGAAGAUUUAUGCAACACUUAGGGCCGAAUUCAAUGUUUUGAACCCUUUCUUUAACAAACAACACUUUAGAGCUCUUUUUCAUACUUUUUUUCAAUUCUUUUUUUUUUCUUUUCUACCCGUGCCUUAUUAAGGACUUUGGCACACACACACACACAAGAAUCACUUCCCCCACACUUGCUUUCUGCAAUACAUUGAUAAAAAAGGAGUUCAUUUUAAGUCAUGCUUUAUUAUGCCUCAAGAACAAGGGUAUGGAUGGUCCUAACACUAGGCUAGGUAAGGAUAGUGUGGGUUAACAAAGAACAUAGGCUUAACAAGGCUCAACGAGGUUAAACUUAAACACAUAAUGAAAUAGGGGCAUGUCAAUUUGGCUUUGGUGGUCACUACACAACUUCAUCUUGAAUAUGUGUUAUGCAAAUCAAUAGCAUGCUUUGAAUGAAAUAGGCAUGAGUUCUAGCAUUUGCAACUAAAUGAUGAAACGCCUUCUAGGUAGCAACCAAGCAAAGAAUAAUGAGAUCAUGCAACGACUUUAGAAAACAAUGAUGCACAGAUUAUUAACUCUCCAAAUAAACAUUUAGGCUCAAGUCUCACAAGGUUGUAGCGUUCAUUUGAGUUCCUUCUUUCAAGCAUGUUACAAAAACUGAUUUUUCCUUUAUGAUUGCAUAUGAAUUCAUAAAUUAUAACCACAACCAAGCAUACACCAAAGAGUAAAUCAAAUUUUCAUCCAUGUUUAUAACUAUCUUUAACAGUCAUGUAUUAAAAACCAAAUCCUCAUCAUUGUGUUGGAAGGUACCCUAAGACACAAGCAAACACACAAAAACAACUCUUUUUGGGUUUUUCAAAACAAUUUUUCAAAUUUUUUUUCGGAUUUUUAUGUCAAAACACACUAACACUCCAAAACAACAUAAAAACACUUAAAAACAGCAAGGAACAACACUAGAAGUAAUGGGUCAUAAACUCUCACGAAUUUCAUGUAAAACAACUUGGUUACCCCCCCACACUUAAAUCGAACAUUGUCCUCAAUGUUUCAAGCAUAAACUCACACAAACACAAGCAAACAAUCAAACAAACAACGAAUAAACAUGACAAGUAUGGCAAAGUAAAAACCAAACAGAGUAGAGUUUAAGAACGCAAAUCUGGUUUUGGAGAUAGAUGAUCUUGGCAACUUUCCACAGCUUUGAUCUCGAACUGGUUUGGAAUUCUGAGAGAGGAAUAUCACAGUUCCUUGGUUUCAAAUCAGACUCCUUCUGCUUGGUUGAUUUGAUUAUGCAGUCUACAUUCUUCUCUGCUUGUUUCUUCUGCACGGCAGGCAGGCACGAGGUAGAGGUGAUGGUCUGUUUCUUUCUUCAAUCUUUGCAAGUGCCCACCAUUUGCUUUCUUUCUCCUUGUCCCUAGCUGAGGAUGAAUUAGCACAUUGUCUCCACAUGCUUCGAGGUAUCAUUUUCACUUCCCUUAUAUGUUCCCUAAGCAGAUGUGGUAGACGAAG
rnacentral:lncRNA from 1 species